rnacentral:sRNA from 1 species
UAGGAUUAAUAUGUUCCAAACAAAUGCUAGAUGUUAAGCUAACGGUGAUUCACCGCUAUAAAUGCUAAGCGAACGGUGAUCCAUCGCCUAUUGCCUAAAACAUCUAACCGAGAUAUAGAGGAUUUUUGGCUUAAGCGUUUAAAUCAAAAAAUUUAAAAUAUCUAUUAGAAUCUGUUAUUUCUGUUUUCAUGUGUCUGAUUAUGCACAAUAGUGG